UUUGUUUUAGUAUAAUUAUUAUAUUAGCUUUUCGUGCUAGAGAUGGAGUUGAAUCCAAACAAAC
rnacentral:tRNA from 1 species